rnacentral:rRNA from 1 species
CUUGACAAAAUUAUAAGAGGUCCAGCCUGCCCAGUGACUCUGUUCAACGGCCGCGGUAUCCUAACCGUGCGAAGGUAGCGUAAUCACUUGUUCUUUAAAUGAGGACUAGUAUGAAUGGCACCACGAAGGUUAUACUGUCUCCUUUUUCUAAUCAGUGAAACUAAUCUUCCCGUGAAGAAGCGGGAAUAAGAAUAUAAGACGAGAAGACCCUAUGGAGCUUUAAACAAAUAUACACCUGCCUUCCCAUCAAAAAAUUUCAGCAGACAAAUAAUUACCCAGGCAUUUUGAUAUAGCGUUUUAGGUUGGGGUGACCACGGAGCAAAAAACAACCUCCGCAACGAACGGGAAAUCUUCCCUAAACCAAGGGUUACGACCCCAAGUAUCGAUAAAUCGACACCAAUUGACCCAAUAAAUUUGAUCAAUGAAC